rnacentral:rRNA from 1 species
AGAGUUUGAUCAUGGCUCAGGAUGAACGCUGGCGGCGUGCCUAACACAUGCAAGUCGAGCGAUUUACUUCGGUAAAGAGCGGCGGACGGGUGAGUAACGCGUGGGUAACCUGCCCUGUACACACGGAUAACAUACCGAAAGGUAUGCUAAUACGAGAUAAUAUGCUUUUAUCGCAUGGUAGAAGUAUCAAAGCUUUUGUGGUACAGGAUGGACCCGCGUCUGAUUAGCUAGUUGGUAAGGUAACGGCUUACCAAGGCGACGAUCAGUAGCCGACCUGAGAGGGUGAUCGGCCACAUUGGAACUGAGACACGGUCCAAACUCCUACGGGAGGCAGCAGUGGGGAAUAUUGCACAAUGGGCGAAAGCCUGAUGCAGCAACGCCGCGUGAGCGAUGAAGGCCUUCGGGUCGUAAAGCUCUGUCCUCAAGGAAGAUAAUGACGGUACUUGAGGAGGAAGCCCCGG